GAGUGGCGCUCACGGGCGUGGUGCGCCGCUGCGUAAGGUGAAGGUGGGGGGAAGUUUAGAGAGAGAAGGAGGGAAGCGGAGGCUCUUCGAGCCAGAGUGGAGUGCGUGGUGGUUGCGCCGCCGCAAGAGGGGAGGUGGCACGGCUGGCUGGGGCUCGCCGCGGCGCCGACUGGGUCGCGCUACACCGCGGUACGUCGCCGGGCCGCCAGCCGCGUCUAGGCCGCCGAGGAAAGGUGCAGGCGGGGGAGCCGCCCGCGGCACGCGCCGGGGACGUAGCACGUGUUCGCGCCGUGGCUGUAGGAGGUGCUGGGGACCAUGUUGUUCCUGUGCCGCAAGGGGGAGUGCCUCGCCCUGGCGGAGCCGGAGGCCCCGGACNNNNNNNNNNNNNNNNNNNNNNNNNNNNNNNNNNNNNNNNNNNNNNAUUUGAGCAUGGUAAGCGACCUCGUGUUGUGCGUCCCCCUCGGGCUAAGGCACCAGAGCGACCGGUUCACCUCCUAGGAAUUGUCCGACGUGCUGGCCUUGCUCUGCAACAUGAUGUCCCACGAUUAACUGUUAUAGUUCCUAAAGCGCGGGUAUUAUAUGUGGGGAUGACAGCCGAACCAGACGCUUUUGAUGUCGCCCGACAAGUCCGCAGGGGCGCCCUACAUGAAGUCACGUUUCCUAUUUCCCCUCUACUACAGCUACUAAAUGUUGACCGGCCGUCUCUUCCAACUGUACUAUCAACACUGACUGCCCUCAGCGUAAGAUCCAAAUCCACUAGAACCUCAAGUUCCGUAUCCAUAUGGAUAACCAUUUGAACUACAAAUACAACGUCGACGACCAUAGUUGGGUGUCUUCCAAGAGGGUUAUUACGAACUACACCCUUGUUUAUUACUUCUUGAGGAACUUCUGUUCGAUAUAAAUCCUAACUCCGUUGGAUCCAACCUUCCUCUCCUUAUGAAUCGACAACAUCUACUCAAGUACCUUCGACAAGUACGUGCGACCGGCUUUCGUUAACACGUCAAACUUCUGAAGGUUUACUUUACCCGUAAACUUUGAGAAGUCUCCAUAGCCUCGGCUAAAACGUACAAGUUACUACUGCACGUCCCCUGUCGUCCUCAACGAGAUCGACCAGAUGAACCUCGACAAUCUCGUGUUCCAGCUGGCGAGCGUCUAAAAUGAUUCGUCUUCUAUCAACACCACCCUCGACCUUCACGACCCUAUCCACACGAAUUGUACCGAUUUGUACGUUACAAUUCCUACGGUCCCUGGGUAUUUUAACCUCUUGACCCACUUCCUGUGUUAGUUAAGACCCAAGACCUGUUUCUACCGGAAUAAUGGUUUUCAUCUUUUCUAGACCUAGGUCGACAACGAGCAAAACGAUCUCCAAUACCAGGACUUCUCCAGCUUCUAGAGGUACUCCCCCGAUCAGAACAACUUCACCAGUUCUUUCACUUCGGAGUACAGGAAAAUCCUGAUAGACCUCAACCGCCCUAUAAAUUGCUCCUCCAAGAGUUCCGAUACUUUCUUAGACUGAGGGGGACGGGACGUUAAAAACGUUACAGGUUGGGUUGAUGAUUUCGACUUACAUGCGGACUUCUACAUAAGUUCGUACAACCUCUUUUACGUCAUAAACGGUCACCUUCGGGAAAGUCGUUACAAUGAAAUUCGUUACCAUCUUUUCCGAUACGAUUAGUUCGUUUGUUGUACAUAGACAAAGGACCCUAACCAAAUCCUCGGGAAGACAGUCCACGAGCCGUAUAAAGCCUACCGUACGAGGUACGACGUCGACUCACGGAACGAAGUAUGUAGUGUCUACUACGCUAAGCUUUUCCUUAGGAGAAAGGAAGUUAAAGUUCAUAGUCCGUGUAGUGGCGUGCACAGCCGCGACGUCAGCGGGCACGACGGCAACUACUUCUAGACCGGCUCCCUACGAGACUGAACCUAGGAGCCCUGGAGUCCUCGUACAGUCUCAGCCUAUGCCACCUAAUGCACCGAGCCUUCUACACCAUGGGACAAAUGUCGGGUGAGCAGUUGCUGUUUAUCACAAGCUGCUUCGUGUGGGCUUCUCUGCAUAGUCCAAGUAGUUUGUAACGAGUUAAAACCCUGGGCAACUCGAUGUCAAUACAGGGUACACCAUCCUGAACUUAUUUACAGUCUACAACCGUCAGACAGAGGACGUAGCAGCAACAACCGCAUACAGAGAACGUAGCGGUCCAUUAUGCUCUAACGUUUGGCUAAAACACAAGGAUGUACAUACUUUGGGUAAACUUGCUCUCAUCAUGAUCCUACCUACUGGAGGACCUUUCAGGAGCAUUUUCCCAAAGUGUAGAUUGGAUGGGGUUGAACAAACGCUGUUUUCCGAAUCUUCUUUUUUUUAAGUAAUAUACUCCUCCGUUGUGUGCUUACGUACAUCGAAGCAUCUUACUAGUUAGUGUAUGUAGUUAGUACACUUUAACCAAGAUAGCUUAGAUGGUAAUACAUACUGCUAUUACACCGAACACUGCUAUGUCAAAUUAAUUUCCCUGGGGGAAAUUGUCUUUCUGACAUUUCCUCCACAAAUGUUA
rnacentral:rRNA from 1 species